UUUCACUUUAUCCCAAAGAAGAAGAGAGAUGUCACUAGCGAUUGAGAAGAAGACUUCGCCGGUGAAAGAGACAGAGAUAGCGACAGAGUCUCAGAUCACUGGCGAGGAGUAAGGAGGAGUUCGCCGGUGAUGGUGACAGUGACGACCUAGAAGAUGAUAGUGAGAAGAAAGAAGAGGUGACGAAGAAGAAAGCAGAUUUUCUGCUCUGUUUCUGGCAAACAGCAUAGAUGAAGAACAAGAAAUCAGAGACAACGCCGGCUGUGCAUGCAAGCUUCUGGUCACAAAAAAGAGAAAGAGACGAUGGUGAUGGUGGUUAAAGCGGCUAAGAAGAAGAAGAAUGGCAGCGGUGAGUGGUGUUAAGAGCAAGAAGUCAGAGGAGCGGCGCAGAGAAGUGAGAGAAGGGUCGUGGUGCUGCUGCAUGCGGAAAAAGCUUUUGGUAAAGAGAGAUCGGAGCAGAAAGACAGAUGACGCCGCUGAUGGAGGUUCUGUCUUAGCGAAAAAAAAGGUUGAGGAUCUGUUUGUGUUUGAGUGAUGGUUGAUGGCGGUUAGGUAUAAAGUAGUGGUGAACAGUUUCAGGUAUUUUGUUUUUGGAUUAGUGAUAGCUGGAUAUCAAUUGGUGUAUGAUGUAUAUGAUUGUAUUUGAUUGAAGUUGUGGAUUUUAAAUUGGGUGCGUGGAUUUGAAACUUUUUAUGGUUUGGGUGGUUUUGCUCUUUGAUUGGUUUUGGUUCGCGUAUGGACUGUGAACGUCUGAACGAUGUUGAUGAUGAUGCAAAUUUUUUUUGUACAAAUUAAACACUAAAUAUAUCUAAGUACAAAACUGAAAUAAAAAAUUCAAAUUAAUAGUUAAUUGAGUUUUUUAUCAAAAGAGGUUCCUUGACUUUGAGUUAUAAGUUUGUGGAAGAUGAAAACUGGAAAUGAAAAAUGGAGAAGAAGAGAAACCUCAGAUAAGUAAGAAACAUAGAGUGUUUAUAGGUGGAAGAUAGGGGUAAUUACAUCAUUUCACAAUUUACUAACGUUUUUUGUGACAUUAAACGUUAACGGGGACUUAAUUGAA